CCUCGGGGGGCAGCAGUGAGGAAUAUUGGUCAAUGGGCGGGAGCCUGAACCAGCCAAGUCGCGUGAGGGAAGAAGGUACUGAGUAUUGUAAACCUCUUUUGCCAGGGGACAAAGGCGGCCACGGGUGGCCGUAAGAGGGUACCUGGAGAAAAAGCAUCGGCUAACUCCGUGCCAGCAGCCGCGGUAAUACGUAGGUGGCGAGCGUUAUCCGGAAUGAUUGGGCGUAAAGGGUGCGCAGGCGGUCCUGCAAGUCUGGAGUGAAACGCAUGAGCUCAACUCAUGCAUGGCUUUGGAAACUGGAGGAC
rnacentral:rRNA from 1 species